GCGGAAGCUGCAGGCAUUUCGUUUGCACGUGCAAGAUUGACAAGUGACGCAGUCCCAACUCUGUUCCCGAGAGGAACCGGCAUGCUGUUUGGCGGCCACCCCACGAGAGGACUCCAAUGUGCCACUCCAUGCAGAGAAGAAAUACGUCAUCUUUGAGAGUUGCCUCCUCCAGCUGCUCCAGGAAUGCAAAACAUGUCACACACCAGCCAAAACCACGCUGUCUUCAGAGGGAAGCUUUCUGACUGCCAGUUCUGUUUGCUCAAAUGGGCACCAGCAUACAUGGACCAGCCAAUGAUCAAUGGGAAGGCAGCAGGAAACCUCCUAUACUGUCGGCUGCCAUUCUGUUUUCCGGAGCUAGUCCUGCGAAAGUUCUCAGGCUGCUCCGCUUCAUGGCUGUACAGGUCAUGUGUAACUGAACAUAUUUUAAUUACCAGAGAGGUUUUCUGGUACCUGCUAUAGAAAAGGUAAGAUCACAC